GAUUCUCUCCAUCUCAAAAUAAAUAAACUUAAAAAAAAAAUUCUAGGAGAAAACUGAGAGGGAGAAGGCAACACUGAGCAGCAGCUCUCAAAAGGAAUAAAAUCUGGGUAUAAGAUGGGCAACAUGGGGUACAGAGAAAUUAUAGAACUUUCCUAAGAUCAUACGACUACCCUCCUCAGUCUGUAGCGGAAAUGACCCUUACUCAGAAGGCAGACACAGCCAUGGGUCAAAACACUCUGCUUCACUGGGAAUCCUUGUUUGUCAUUGCCACCACUGAUUCAGACUACAUAAUCCUUCUUCACCCAGAGUAUCAGCAGCAAUUUCUGUGGCCAUAUGCCUCCAUAAAAGGACGCAGCCACCCCAACCUUCACGAACCACCAUCCUGAGCAGUCAGCAACCAUCAAUAUCAUGGCAAGACUCUCCACCAACAAAAAGAUUACUGAAAGUUCAGAUGAUGGUUAUCAUUUUUUAGCAACAAACUAUUAAAAAGCCUCAUUUAAAAAAAUGUUUAUUUAUUUAUUUAGGGAGAGGGCGCAUGCACACGGGGAGGAGAGAGGGUGGGUGAGGGCAGAAAGACAGG